AUGCCUACGGGAGGCAGCAGUGGGGAAUAUUGCACAAUGGGGGAAACCCUGAUGCAGCGACGCCGCGUGAGUGAAGAAGUAUUUCGGUAUGUAAAACUCUAUCAGCAGGGGAGAAAAAAGACGGUACCUGACUAAGAAGCCACGGCUAACUACGUGCCAGCAGCCGCGGUAAUACGUAGGGGGCAAGCGUUAUCCGGAUUUACUGGGGGUAAAGGGAGCGUAGACGGAGAAGCAAGUCUGAAGUGAAAGCCCGUGGCUUAAACACGG
rnacentral:rRNA from 1 species